GCCGGGAUGGCGGAAUUGGUAGACGCAGCGGACUCAAAAUCCGCCGGUCGCAAGGCCAUGGGGGUUCAACUCCCCCUCCCGGUACCA
rnacentral:tRNA from 2 species